rnacentral:rRNA from 1 species
UAGGGAAUCUUCCACAAUGGACGCAAGUCUGAUGGAGCAACGCCGCGUGAGUGAAGAUGGUUUUCGGAUCGUAAAGCUCUGUUGUUGGUGAAGAAGGAUAGAGGUAGUAACUGGCCUUUAUUUGACGGUAAUCAACCAGAAAGUCACGGCUAACUACGUGCCAGCAGCCGCGAUAAUACGUAGGUGGCAAGCGUUGUCCGGAUUUAUUGGGCGUAAAGCGAGCGCAGGCGGAAGAAUAAGUCUGAUGUGAAAGCCCUCGGCUUAACCGAGGAACUGCAUCGGAAACUGUUUUUCUUGAGUGCAGAAGAGGAGAGUGGAAUUCCAUGUGUAGCGGUGGAAUGCGUAGAUAUAUGGAAGAACACCAGUGGCGAAGGCGACUCUCUGGUCUGCAACUGACGCUGAGGCUCGAAAGCAUGGGUAGCGAACAGG